GCUCUCUCACGCUAAAUUAACAAAGUCUUACUGGGCAGAGGCUGUAGCAACCGCAGCUUACAUACAGAACAGACUCCCCACAUCUGUUCUGAAACAAGUGACGCCCUACCAGAAAUGGUGCGACAAACAGCCAAAUGUGAGUCACAUGAAAGUGUUUGGUUGCGUAGCUUAUGCACAUGUCCCAGACAUUGAAAGAAGAAAACUGGACAAAAAGGCUGUGAAGCUUCGUUUCGUGGGAUAUGCCAACAAUGCCAAGGGCUAUCGCUUGUUUGACGAAGAAAAAAGAAGGAUUCUAAUUCGUCGGGAUGUGAUCUUCAACGAGUCAGACUUUGACUUGAAACAAGAAGUGGAUAUUUCUUGUUCGGAGAAUGAAGUUAUCAUGAAAACUGACGAGAGAACCCCAGUCGAUGCUACUGUCGAUGAAACUGCUAGAGAAGAACCAAGCACACUGAAAGAGGCAAUGAUGAGUCCAAAUGCAAAGGAAUGGCAGGAGGCUGCUGACUUGGAAUAUGAAUCACUGCUGGAAAAUAAGACAUGGGAUUUAGUGAAACUACCAAAGGAUCGGAAAGCCAUAGGAUCAAGAUGGGUGUUUAAAGUCAAGCAUCAUAGUGACGGACGAGUGGAGAGAUACAAGUGCAGACUUGUGGCUAAGGGUUACUCACAGAAGUAUGGUGCUGACUACGAUGAAACUUUUUCACCCGUGGUACGUUUUAGCUCAAUACGUACGUUGCUGUCCUUUGCAAUCCAGAAUAACAUGCAUGUGCAUCAGAUGGAUGUGGUAACCGCAUUUCUAAAUGGACACCUGGAUGAGGAAAUCUAUAUGGAGCAACCAGAGGGAUACAUCAGACCAGGAGAAGAAAGUUUGGUGUGCAAGCUGAAGAAGUCAAUAUAUGGACUGAAGCAGUCCCCUCGCUGCUGGAGCAAAACUUUCACAGAGUUCAUGAAGAACAUUGGAUUCAAACAGAGUACAUCAGACCCAUGUGUGUUCGUGAGAUCUCGACAGGAG
ensembl:lncRNA